rnacentral:rRNA from 1 species
UCUUGGUUCAUUUAGAGGAAGUAAAAGUCGUAACAAGGUUUCCGUAGGUGAACCUGCGGAAGGAUCAUUACAGUAUUCUUUUGCCAGCGCUUAACUGCGCGGCGAAAAACCUUACACACAGUGUCUUUUUGAUACAGAACUCUUGCUUUGGUUUGGCCUAGAGAUAGGUUGGGCCAGAGGUUUAACAAAACACAAUUUAAUUAUUUUUAUUGAUAGUCAAAUUUUGAAUUAAUCUUCAAAACUUUCAACAACGGAUCUCUUGGUUCUCGCAUCGAUGAAGAACGCAGCGAAAUGCGAUAAGUAAUAUGAAUUGCAGAUUUUCGUGAAUCAUCGAAUCUUUGAACGCACAUUGCGCCCUCUGGUAUUCCAGAGGGCAUGCCUGUUUGAGCGUCAUUUCUCUCUCAAACCCCCGGGUUUGGUAUUGAGUGAUACUCUUAGUCGAACUAGGCGUUUGCUUGAAAAGUAUUGGCAUGGGUAGUACUGGAUAGUGCUGUCGACCUCUCAAUGUAUUAGGUUUAUCCAACUCGUUGAAUGGUGUGGCGGGAUAUUUCUGGUAUUGUUGGCCCGGCCUUACAACAACCAAACAAGUUUGACCUCAAAUCAGGUAGGAAUACCCGCUGAACUUAAGCAUAUCAAUAAGCGGAGGAA